rnacentral:rRNA from 1 species
UACGUAGGGCGCAAGCGUUGUCCGGAAUUAUUGGGCGUAAAGAGCUCGUAGGCGGUUUGUCGCGUCUGCUGUGAAAACUCGAGGCUCAACCUCGGGCUUGCAGUGGGUACGGGCAGACUAGAGUGCGGUAGGGGUGACUGGAAUUCCUGGUGUAGCGGUGGAAUGCGCAGAUAUCAGGAGGAACACCCGUAGCGAAGGCGGCACUCUGGGCCGAUAACUGACACUGAGGAG